UACGGAGGGUGCGAGCGUUGUCCGGAAUCAUUGGGCGUAAAGGGCGCGUAGGUGGCCUGCUAAGCGUGCGGUGAAAGUCGGGGGCUCAACCCCCGAUCGGCCGUGCGAACUGGGAGGCUUGAGCACUGUAGAGGCAGGCGGAAUUCCGGGUGUAGCGGUGGAAUGCGUAGAGAUCCGGAAGAACACCGGUGGCGAAGGCGGCCUGCUGGGCAGUUUUGCUGACACUGAGGCGCGACAGCGUUGGGAGCAAACAGG
rnacentral:rRNA from 1 species